rnacentral:rRNA from 1 species
UGAGGAAUUUUGCGCAAUGGGAGCAAUCCUGACGCAGCAACGCCGCGUGGGUGAUGAAGGCCUUCGGGUCGUAAAGCCCUGUCAGGUGGGAAGAAUGUCCCGGGACUGAACAGGUUCCGGGAGUGACGGUACCACCAGAGGAAGCACCGGCUAACUCCGUGCCAGCAGCCGCGGUAAUACGGAGGGUGCAAGCGUUAUUCGGAAUUACUGGGCGUAAAGCGCGUGUAGGCGGUCCUGCAAGGCUGAUGUGAAAGCCCCGGGCUUAACCCGGGAAGUGCAUUGGAAACUGUUGGACUUGAGUACUGGAGAGGAUUGGGGUAUUCCCGGUGUAGAGGUGAAAUUCGUAGAGAUCGGGAGGAAUAUCAGUGGCGAAGGCGCCCAUCUGGACGGUAACUGACGCUGUGACGCGAAAGCGUGGGGAGCAAACA